rnacentral:tRNA from 1 species
UCCCAGGUGGCUUAGAUGGUAGAGAACCUGCCUGCCAAGCAGGAGACCGGGUUUGAUCCCUGGGUCGGGAA